AGCAGUGUGGUCUAGUGGUCAGUGCAGACAGCCUGAAAAUUAGGAUUUUUGGGUUCGAUUCCCAUCUCUGCUA
rnacentral:tRNA from 1 species